rnacentral:rRNA from 1 species
UUUGGAGAGUUUGAUCCUGGCUCAGGACGAACGCUGGCGGCAUGCCUAAUACAUGCAAGUCGAGCGGAGUUGUUUUGAAAGCUUGCUUUCAAA